UACGAAGGGGCGUAGCGUUGCUCGGAAGUCACUGGGCGGUAAAGACGCACGUAGGCGGACUUUAAGUUCGGAGGUGAAAUCCUGGAGCUCAACUCCAGAACUGCCUUCGAUACUGAGAGUCUUCGAGUUCGGGAGAGGUGAGUGGAACUGCGAGUGUAGAGGUGAAAUCCGUAGAUAUUCGCAAGAACACCGGUGGCGAAGGCGGCUCACUGGCCCGAUACUGACGCUGAGGUGCGAAAGCGUGGGGA
rnacentral:rRNA from 1 species